CGCUUUUCGAGUCUAAAAUUGCUGCUUUCCUAUAGAUUACUUAAACGAGUUUAUUUUAAGGGGGAAGUGAAACGCCACUGUACGAAACUACAUUACCCGUAAUGCAGCUCGGUAUGACCGACGUACUGUCGUGAAUUUAAACUGCUAAUACGUCGGUCACCGACUCUCAACAGUCGUGAAAACACCUGGACAAACUUGGAUGUUUCUAUCGGUUAAUGUUUUGUUAGUUUUUGUAAGACUGUUAUGCAGUUUCAGCACCGGGCAGAGUGGAGUUUGUGGGGCGGAUUAUUCGACUGUGAAAAUGCCGCUUUAUGUCAGUUAGCGCCGCAAUGCUAGUUAAGCUAACUUUUUGCUAACAACUCGUUUGAUCAUUUUCAUUCUGUAGCUUUUCAGAUUUGCUCUUCAAAUAUGAAUUAAACGCACCCGGUUCGUUGCGAGGAUGCUGUAUUUGCUAUAUUAGCUAUUUAAACAAACAAAAAAAAUAGUCUCAUAACGGUUCCGCCCAAGCAGAAAAGAUUCAGUUGAGGAAACCAUGACACUCGCUCCGAAGGAACUGUCCAACCUGCUGAGCAUCAUCUCGGAAGAGGCUUGCACCAACUCCUUCGAAAGCCUCUCCACUCACUUUCAUCAUUACUUCGGGAAAGCGGAGCACUUCAGGGUCGGCUCGGUGUUGGUGAUGCUUCUGCAGCAACCGGACCUGCUGCCCAGCUCCUCGCAGCGGCUCAUCGCCCUCUACCUGCUGUGGGAGAUGUACCGCACCGAGCCAUUGGCCGCUAACCCUUUCGCCGCUGUUUUCGCGCACCUGCUGAACCCCGCACCUGCCGGAGAGGAGCAGGAGAAGGUGCUGUCCGGCUUCCUGCCUCCCAUCACCCAACCUGAGAAGUUCUUCCUGUCCCAACUGAUGUUGGCACCUCCCAGGGAUCUCUUCAAAAAGACACCCAGACAGGUGUCCUGCAUGGAUGUUGGCAACAUGCCCCAGUCUGUAGACAUCAGCGGGUUGCAGCUAGCGUUGGCAGAGCGUCAGUCAGAGUUGCCCACUCAGAGUAAGGCCAGUUUCCCAAGCAUUCUCAAUGAUCCAGACCCAGACUCAUCCAACUCAGGAUUCGACAGCUCUGUGGCCAACCAGAUCAUUGAGUCUCUGGUCACAGGCCCACGCCCUCCCCUGGAAAGUCACUUCCGCCCUGAGUUCAUCCGGCCGCCGCCUCCUCUCCACGUCUGUGAGGACGAGCUGGCGUGGCUGAACCCCACCGAGCCAGAUCACAGCAUCCAGUGGGAUCGCUCCAUGUGUGUGAAGAACAGCACCGGCGUGGAGAUCAAACGCAUCAUGUCCAAGGCCUUCAAGAGCCCGCUGUCUGCACAGCAGCAAUCACAGCUGCUGGCUGAGCUGGAGAAGGACCCGAAGCUGGUUUACCACAUCGGUCUGUCUCCGGUGAAGCUGCCUGACCUGGUUGAGAACAACCCGCUGGUGGCCAUCGAGAUGCUGCUAAAGCUGAUGCAGAGCAGCCAGAUCACAGAAUAUUUCUCAGUGCUGGUCAACAUGGACAUGUCGCUGCACUCCAUGGAGGUCGUCAACAGGUUGACCACAGCUGUGGAUUUGCCUCCUGAGUUUAUCCACCUCUACAUCUCUAACUGCAUCUCCACCUGUGAGCAAAUCAAAGACAAAUACAUGCAGAAUCGUCUGGUCCGUCUGGUCUGUGUCUUCCUGCAGUCGCUCAUCCGGAACAAGAUUAUCAAUGUUCAGGACCUCUUCAUCGAGGUUCAGGCUUUCUGCAUCGAGUUCAGCCGCAUCCGCGAGGCCGCUGGCCUCUUCCGCCUCCUCAAGACUCUGGACACUGGAGAAAACCCCACUGAGGCCAAACCUGCCAAAUAAUACUCGUCAUAGAUGCUACACGGGCGGGACUGAAGCAGCGGCUAAACGAGGACGGUUUGCUCUAAUGCACACUCGUAGUGUCCCUGUACAUCACAGAAGGAGAAGACUGUGCAGUCCAGGUGUGCCUGAAGGACAGCAGCAUUUCCUUUUUUCCCAGUGCUCUCCCCUUUGGAAAAUGAAACCUCCUGAGUUUGUUUCAUUAAAGAGAUCGUUUAUUUGA